UGCAUAGUGAAAGUGACUGGGAAGUCGGC
rnacentral:piRNA from 1 species